GCCGGACAGUCUUGGUCUUUUAUCGUCACUGGAAGUGUUAGAUCUAAGUGGAAACAAUUUUCAGACUAUACCUAUAAGCAUCAAUAAACUCUUUGAGUUGCAAUAUCUUGGAUUAAGGAAUUGCAAGAGACUUGAAUCAAUACCGGACCUUCCACCACGGCUAUCAAAGUUGGAUGUAGACAAUUGCAGGAGUUUGCAUUAUCUAGUAUCAAGCUCAUCAACUGUAGUUGAGGGGAACAUUUUUGAAUUCAUUUUCACUAAUUGCUUGGGGUUGCGUGGGAUCAAUCAAAUCUUGGCGUACUCAUUAUUAAAAUUUCAACGUUAUACCAUCAGGUUAUACCAUCAG
rnacentral:lncRNA from 1 species